UGGGCUGCCUCUUGUUCUCUGCCCAAAGCCAUAUUUUGGCUUAUUUUUUCAACCCCCGCCCAUAUUAUUUUGGGCCCAAUUUCAUUGCCUUAACCAAUCUUUUUUGGGCUUUUUCUUUUGUAUGGCCUGCAGCCAUCUAGCUCAAAAUAUGGUCUGAAGCUUUAUAUUUUUGCUUCUACAAUCGACCCUGAAUGGUCUCGAUCUAUUAAAUUAAUUAAAAGUGACCUGUAGUCCAUUAAUUUGAUAAUUAAUCCAAAAUUAUUGGCCUGAAGCCUACUUUUGGACAUUAACGAUUCAAUAUUUUAUUUCUCUUCUUUGAACCGUUGACAUACUUUUGUAGUAACGAAGCUCUCACACUUAAGUUCUUGAAGAACCUCAAAUCCACUGCACUUAAAUCAACAUAUUGCAUUUUGUGUUCUUGUAGGAACCUCUUUUUUUAUGAACAAAAUGUUCAUAAACUAAAUUGAACAUGUAGUUUCAAAUUUAGUGCCUUUGAAACCUGAAGAUUUCAUAAAACAAUACACCUAUGAAAACCUGACAUUUUUCACAAAAACCAUGUCUUAGAACUCAAAUGUUCUAACUUUAAUGCUUAUGGAUGAUUCCUUCCCAUAUCACCAAUCACAAUCUUAUUCUCUCCAAUUCGGUGGAUUAUCGAAUCGUCACAAGUUCAAUUUCUCUUAUUUGGACGUUUCUAACAGAAAUCGCUUUAUGUGGGGUACAAGAUGUGAAUCUCCACUGGACUAUCAAGAAGCUGAGAAAUCAUUGUAGCCAACAAUGGCAUGGAAGAGCUGAAUAACCCUCUGCCAUGAUCUUCAUUUGAAAACUUAUGCCCGAAACAUUAUAAACGGAAGUACCUCUUGAAUGAGGAUUCCAUGGCUCUUUGGCUGGCCCUUAUGGACCAUUUAAUCAUGAAAGACAUUACUUGAAGCACACCAUGAUUACGUCCAUGAAUGAGUACAAUUCGGAAAUUUAUAAAUCCGACCGAAUUUUGACUAAAGAAUACUUUUCUCAUCCCUCCAUAUUUCUAACUCGCCUCUGAAGCAGCAGUGUAGAAAGUGGAAGUUUACCAAAUUCUCGGAUCUGAUUACUACCACAAACGUGAGAGAACGGUAUAGACUCAGUUCGGCUGAAGUCUACAGAAUAGCUUAACCUAGUUCGGUCAAAACGUACCGAAUGGUGGUGCCAUACUUUGGCAGGGAUGCACCGAACAGACCCUUCCAGCUUCGGCUGGAGCUUACCAAAUCCAAUUCGAGGUCUGUCUAUCUCACAAUCCAAUUUUGAGUUUGUUUUUUACAACAUAUGGUAAAAUCAAGGCUUGCCAAGGUGUGGCAUCAUGCCCGAAGCAUGAUCCUUGGUACCUAAGACCUAAAAAUUCAAAGAAUAAGGGAUAAUAUUCCCAAACCUUAACCUUGCAGAAUCUACAUACGUCUUGAUGGAAUAGAUCAUGGGUUAUGCACUUGUUCGUGCCUCUACCAAUGUCGUUGAGUGAUAGGAGCAUAUUUAGGUGACUUAGUUAGCUUGUUUUCUUGCAUUUAUCUUGUUAGUUCUUAGUUAUUUUAGUAUUAUAAGCUAUUUUCGUGUGUUUGUAGGUCCAAAGGGCUAAGGAGGCAAGAAAGUGCAUUUUAGAGCAUUUUGGAGCAACUUUGGGCUUGGAAUGGAUAUCACAUGCUUGGAGCAAGGGAGAUGGACGAAAUGGAAGACCUAAAGAUGCUAGGAUUCCUAAUUGAAGAUGGAUUCCUAGCAGAAUGAGGAUUCCUACUUACACAAGGAUUCCUACAAGUAGAAGGAAUGUUAAGCCAAGGUUUCCUACCUUGGUUUUAACCUUUCCUAAUCCUAAAAGUCCCUAAGUUCCAGCAACAAAGAGGACUCCUAAUCAUAUUAAGACACUAAAUAAGAACUUCUAGAAGUCCUAAACCCCUUGCCGCACCUCCCUUCUCCCUUUUUCUUCCUUGCCGUGCAAGGGAGAGCUUUUCUUUCCUAUUUCCUGCACCAAAUCACAUUCCCUUUUUAAUUAAAAGCCUUGCCACAUAUCUCCUUACUCUUUCCUUUGAUCUAUGAUUUUGUCUUCCUUUUUCUAGUAGUUUUGACUUAAUUUCUGCUAACCUAAAUAAGUUAGGGUUUUGAUUUCCUAAAACCUUAAAUACUUCCCUUUGUCGCAGAAAAAUACAUCAUUCUUCCCAUCCAUUCUCCAAUACACACAUCCAGCCACGCCCUUACACUCUCAUCACCCAUCACUCAUCCACCAUCACAAUUCACCACAAAAAUCAUCAACCAUACCUUGUGCCGUAGCAAAGAAGAAGAAGGAAAGCCCUUGGACGUGUUUGUCAUUCAAGUUAGAGUUGCUGGAACGUUUUUAGGUGUAAUCUUUCUUUUGUUUUCAAUGUUUAAGUUUAAUAAUCUUUGUUUUGCGAGUAUGAGGAACUAAACCCCUCUUAGCUAGGGGGAAUUUUGAAACCAUGACUAUACUUGUAGUAUGAUUUGAUUACAUCCAGUUGUAAUUUCAUAAAUUGUGAAUUCAAUUUACUUAUCUGUUUGAAUUAAAACUUGUUUGUGUAUGUGGCUUGAGAGUGCACACUUAAUUUGCAUGCAUAAAUCUGAUGCUAGGAUAUAAGGGAGUUUCACUUAAUCGUUAUGAACUUAUAUUCAUAAGUAGUGGAGGUUGCUAGUCACAAUCGUGUUCAGUAAAUUCCUGGCAUAAGUAUCAUGCGUUUUCAUAGUUACGAAUGCCUUGUCAAUACUUAUGAUUUUCAUAGAACUUAAUGAUCUUUGAUUGUAUCUCUAUUAUGCGCUUUCAUGUAAGGAACUUUUGAAGAAGAAUUUGAUUGCGAUGCACUAUUUCCGUCCAAUUCAAUGACAUAAGGAAAAUCUGAAGGUUAAUUUAAGCGUACCUAAUUAAUCUGGGGUGUUGAGAUUUAUGGUUUAUUGAAAGAAACAACUGGAAAUCGAUUUGUAUGCAAAUGUCUCAUGUGUGGAGAAGAACCCUCUAGCUAGCCCAUCAUCCAUCCAAUUUACCCAAUUUCAUCCAAACUUUGUUUUAGUUUACAAUUUGUUUGUUUUAUUUUCAAAUUCGUCAAAACCAAAUCCCCCUUUACUUUAGUGUGUGUAAUUAGUUAGAAUGUGUUUUAGUUUGUGUUUUUAAGUGUUUUGAGUCAAGUAAAAGUCAAUUUUCGUCUAAAGUCAUUCCUAGUGUCUGUUUUGAGUCAAUUAGCUUGUUUUGUGCUGUUUUGAGUCAUUUGAGUUGUUUUAGUGUAUUAGCGUCUAGUUUUGCAUUAUUUGAGUCUAGUUUAGUGUUCCAAACUUAUUUUUACAUUUUCAAGAAAGUUUCAAGUGUUUUAGCAAUCCUCCUAAUCCCCGGAGUAGAACGAUCCCUACUUACAUAUAUACUACAAUUGUCAACAAGAAUGUUUAAUUUGUGUGCUUAUAUAUUUCGCAUCAAAUUUUUGGCGCCAUUGCCAAGGAUUAGCAACUUUGCUAAUCCCUUGGAUCUUUUCUUUCCAUUUAUUUUAAUUUGUUUUAGUUUCUGACUUUGCUUUGUUUUCUUGUUUUAGGUACUAGUUUAUGACUUGAAGUUCUCAACCUGUUCGUGAGCACAUCCUUGACUUUGACGACGAUUUUGAACGAACUUUGAGACGAACGAGGAAUCAACAAGAGUCCC
rnacentral:lncRNA from 1 species